rnacentral:rRNA from 1 species
AGUGGAUGGGGAGCAACCUAGUUGUGCGUGUGUAAAGGUAGUGCCAAGAAAAGCGGUGAUCAUGAUGAAAAUCAAUUCCCGGUACCCGAAACCGACACAGGUGGGCAAGUAGAGAAUACUAAGGGGCGCGAGGUAACUCUCUCCAAGGAACUCGGCAAAAUGACCCCGUAACUUAGGGAGAAGGGGUGCCACCGAGAGGUGGUCGCAGUGAAGAGGCCCAGGCGACUGUUUAGCAAAAACAUAGGUCUCUGCAAACUCGAAAGAGGAGGUAUAGGGGCUGACGCCUGCCCAGUGCCGGAAGGUUAAAGAAGUUGGUCAGUCUUAGGAUAAAGCUAGCGACUGAAGCCCCGGUGAACGGCGGCCGUAACUAUAACGGUCCUAAGGUAGCGAAAUUCCUUGUCGGGUAAGUUCCGACCCGCACGAAAGGCGUAACGAUCUGGGCGCUGUCUCGGAGAGGCUCGGCGAAAUAGGAUUGUCUGUGAAGAUACGGACUACCUGCAUUUGGACAGAAAGACCCUAUGAAGCUUUACUAUAGCUUGGAAUUGUGUUCGGGCUUCCUGUGCGCAGGAUAGGUGGGAGGCGAAGAAGGUAUUCUUGUGGGGAUACUGGAGCCAACGGUGAGAUACCACUCUCAGGAGGCUAGAAUUCUAACUCAAUUAAGGACAGUUUCAGGUGGGUAGUUUGACUGGGGCGGUCGCCUCCAAAAAGGUAACGGAGGCGUACAAAGGUUCCCUCAGACUGGUUGGAAAUCAGUCGCAGAGUGCAAAGGCAGAAGGGAGCUUGACUGCGAGAAGUACAGUUCGAGCAGGGUGGAAACACGGUCUUAGAGAUCCGACGGUGCUGUGUGGAAGGGCCGUCGCUCAACGGAUAAAAGUUACUCUAAGGAUAACAGGCUGAUCUCCCCCAAGAGUUCACAUCGACGGGGAGGUUUGGCACCUCGAUGUCGGCUCAUCGCAACCUGGGGCGGAAGUACGUCCCAAGGGUUGGGCUGUUCGCCCAUUAAAGCGGUACGUGAGCUGGGUUCAGAACGUCGUGAGACAGUUCGGUCCAUAUCCGAUGUAGGCGUGAGAAUAUUGAGAGGAGCCUUCCUUAGUACGAGAGGACCGGGAAGGACGCACCGCUGGUGUACCUGUUAUGAUGCCAAUUGUAAACGCAGGGUAGCCAAGUGCGGAGAGGAUAACCGCUGAAAGCAUCUAAGUGGGAAGCCCACCUCAAGAUGAGUAUUCUGGUGUAAGGUCACGGGAAGACGACCCGUAAAUAGGCACGAGGUGGAAGUGCAGAGAUGUAUGAAGCCGAAGUGUACUAAUAGACCGUCGGCUUGACC